rnacentral:rRNA from 1 species
GACGAACGCUGGCGGCGUGCUUAACACAUGCAAGUCGAACGAAGAGCGAUGGAAGCUUGCUUCUAUCAAUCUUAGUGGCGAACGGGUGAGUAACGCGUAAUCAACCUGCCCUUCAGAGGGGGACAACAGUUGGAAACGACUGCUAAUACCGCAUACGAUCUAACCUCGGCAUCGAGGAUAGAUGAAAGGUGGCCUCUACAUGUAAGCUAUCACUGAAGGAGGGGAUUGCGUCUGAUUAGCUAGUUGGAGGGGUAACGGCCCACCAAGGCGAUGAUCAGUAGCCGGCCUGAGAGGAUGAACGGCCACAUUGGGACUGAGACACGGCCCAGACUCCUACGGGAGGCAGCAGUGGGGAAUCUUCCGCAAUGGACGAAAGUCUGACGGAGCAACGCCGCGUGAGUGAUGACGGCCUUCGGGUUGUAAAGCUCUGUUAAUCGGGACGAAAGGCCUUCUUGCGAAUAGUUAGAAGGAUUGACGGUACCGGAAUAGAAAGCCACGGCUAACUACGUG